rnacentral:rRNA from 1 species
AUUGAACGCUGGCGGCAGGCUUAACACAUGCAAGUCGAGCGAGCGGCGGACGGGUGAGUAAUGUCUGGGAAACUGCCUGAUGGAGGGGGAUCACUACUGGAAACGGUAGCUAAUACCGCAUACCAUCAGAUGUGCCCAGCUGGGAUUAGCGAGUAGUUGGGGUAAUGUCUCACCUAGGCGACUAUCCCUCGCUGGUCUGAGAGGAUGACCAGCCACACUGGAACUGAGACACGGUCCGGACGCCUACUGGAGGCAGCAGUGGGGACUAUUGCACAAUGGGCUGAAGCCUGAUGCAGCCAUGCCGCGUGUGUGAAGAAGGCCUUCGGGUUGUAAAGCACUGUCAGCGAGGAGGCGUUACUCGCAGAAGAAGCACCGGCUAACUCCGUGCCAGCCGCCGCGGUAAUUC